UUAAAGAUUCCAAACUAACAAGAUUCUUUCAGAAGUGCUCGACUGUAUAGCCUUAUAUGAGAUGUGCUACUUGUAUACAAAUCUACUAAGGAUGUUAUUUGGAAUUAUGGGUCCAACAAUCCAAUAGUUUGAGCCAUUUGACUGGUCAUGUGGGUCCCAUUAAAGCAAUCAGAUCAAGAGAUUGAUCAUUUAAGUUGUCCAGGGAAUCUCAUGGACCAAGCGGUGUAUGGAUGCCACUAGCUCUUGUUGAUCAUUGCAUAUUGCCCCCAUUGGUUCUGUUUUCGCCCCCAUUGGGUGAACACUGAGUUUUUACAUAUGCUCUAUAUGCAGGGAAACCGUUUGAUACAAUAGCUAUAAGAAAUAAGCAUUGUGUGCUCUACUCACUGCCCUUGGAUUUUCAUUUGGCCCAACUGUGUGGAGUACAGGCUGGGACAACAGGCCAACAUGCAGAGCUACUGUUGGAUAAGAUAGCUACAGGAAAUAUGCACCGUGUACUCUACUUACAGUCCUUGGAUUUUCAUUUGAACGUACAUUUUUCAAUUUUGGUUUAGAUCUGCCAUUUGUUGAAAUUGGCAUUCAACCCUAAGCAACUGAGAAACUUUAUAAGGUUAAACAUUGGUGUUUCUGUUUGAGAAAUGCUAUAAUCAAUUAUGUAGAGUGUGUCUUCUAACUUCUAUGCUGCUCCUUUCACUGUAAAUGUGGCAAACAUUUGUGUUGACUGUUGAUCUGGUGGGCUACUGCAUGGAUUUGCUAUAGACCAAGAAUCAGAGUGAUCUGACAAAUGUGGCCAUGCAAUUGUUGUUAGUUACAUUUUUUGAAUGUGGACUAUUGCUUUAACCAUUCCUUUUUCGAUCCAUUGAUUGUAUGGCUAGCUAUCACGGUCCAACACCUUUGCUGAAUUUUUUAUUUUUUAUUUAUUAUUUUUUUUUGCAGACAGUAAAACAAAACCAUCAUACAUAGGAUGCAUAACAACCAAGAACUAGAACAUAUAUAGACAAACUUUAGUAGGAACAUACAGGUGAUUGCCAUGGUUGUAGGAGUCUAUUGUCUCUGUUCUAGUUAUGGAAGGAGUGGUUUCACCAGCAUGAUAUGGUGCAAAAUUGAUAGACAUGCAAUGAUUUUGGGGUUGAUCUCUUUUUCUCCAUUGAGUCCCUUGCAGACUUCUUAGUGUUUGAAGUGGCGUGAUUUUCUUUUCUGGGAUGGACGGGUGUUGCGGGUUAGCUGGGGAAGGAGGAAGAUUGGAUGCCUGACUUGGAACUGAUGAUUUUGAAGUGGAAACUGUUGAUUUCUUUUUUGUUCUGGCCAAGUUCUGAUUAGCAGCAAACCUUUCCUUUAAUGGUGGCUUCUCCGAUUGGCAGUUGUAAUUAUUUGUAUCUCCAAGUUGCGGUGAUUCAACUCCAUCUGGUUUAUCACCACCUGCAUUGCUAUUUGAUUCCACCAACUUGUCCUUCUUAUGUACAAUGUCAAAGCUGUUAUCAGUAAUUUCUCCAGUGGCUGAAUCUUGUGCAUUGCCCUUCUGAACUCUGUCAUUCUCUUCUUGUUCCGAGAGACUAUUCACCUCAGCAUUUGCUUGCUCAAGCAAUGCUGCCACCUUUUGAGCGGCAAUUCUAUUGUAAUGGGCCUCAAAGUAAGCUUUCUUCUGAGCAACAGAGCCCAGGGUGGAGUAUUUCUGCACCUCUUCCAAGUGCCUGUUAUGAGAGGAGGAUGACCAUUUUCCCCAGUCUAGAGAUUCUGACGCAAACCUUCCAAAGGAGAUGGAUCCUUCCAAUACAAGGGCUGGAUCCACCUGUUGACUGUGGUGAUGAAGGGAGUUGUCAGUAGAAUGAGAGAAGCAGUUUUGUUGCAUAAGACAAGCUGAUUCUGCCAUUGCCUUUGCCUUUGCCUUUGUCUUUGUCUUUGCAGCAGCAGCAAGUAUGAACAGGGAAGCCCUCUAGAAUCUUGCCUCUCCUUUGAGAAAAAAAUUGUGACCAUCAAUUUGUAGCACUCUUGGAUUGCAGAAUUGCAUGUAUAACAGGGGAUAUUUAUUUAUUUAUUUUAUGCAUUAGCUGUAUGAAUAGGGGAUUUGAUUUGGUUUCCAUAAGCAUUUUUCAUGUCAUUUUUACUACAAGCUUUUAGUUUUGAGUGGUGAAAUAAUACUGGAGUUGUAUUGUGUUAAUGCAAAUAUCCCUAGUGGUGAUAUUUGCCAGCUACUUCUCGCUGUGAAUGCUAAGGUUUCAUCAUUAUUUUUUUGUCACUUCCUCUUGGCUAAACUGAAUUCUUUAGGACUGAAACAACAAAAUCUGUGGGUACUGUUGCUAAGAUGUAGUUAAAGAUCUGUGGAGGAUGCUGAUGUUGUCUAUGCAGAUAUGCAACAUGCUGAGAAAGAAAUAUGAUUGGAAAAGGCCUGUUGUUUUAAUACAUGCAGUAUUUUUAGAUGCAAGUUGUUUUAUAUGCUUGUUACCUUCUUUGUCAUCAGAGUGGAAAAUGCACCCUUCCUAGCCAUUUGUCUGUUGGAGCAAGUGAUUCGAUCACCCGGAUCCUUGUUGUGGAUCCAAUUAAGCUAAUGACAAUUCCUGAGAUUCGUCAACAUCCAUGGUUCCAACAUCAUCUUCCUGGCUACUUAGCCAUUCCUGCAAUAGAUGUGUUGCAAAGAGUGAAACAGCGCAGGGAUUUGUUUGGUGCUUUUGGUAGAAGCUCCAUAUGUGAUCAAGCUAGACAUCUUUACAACAAAUUCCAAUAUGGUGGCAAACUUGCUUCUUAUUUUGCUCCUCAGUGAGUUACAGUUGAACUAUAAUAAUGAGCGAUCUAGGUGCAGCUGUCAUAUGCUGCCGGGUCUCUCCAAAGCAGAAAGCCCUGGUAGGAUUUGUGAGCCUUUAUUGAUGUAACAUCAUCAUGUUUGUUCUAUUUCCUUUCAAUGAGACAUCGAACAAUUCUUUCCAUUGAUUUGAAUCCUGAGAUGGGUCUUGUUUUUCAGGUGAUGGGGCUGUGUUUUUUGUUGUCUGUAUUGGUUUCUAGCCCCGAUAAAGUGCUUUGCCAGAAAAGUGAAGUAGUAGUAGUUGCAACAACAAAUUGAGAUCACGAUAGAGUUCAACGAUUGCUCAAAACAAGUCGGUGCUUAUGUACAUUGUAUGGGCAAGUUGGGCCUGUGGCAAGCCAUAAUUGUCAUUCAAGCAGAGGAGUGAAUCUAGACCCAUUAAGCUAGUGGUCAAAGGAACUCAAGAACUGUGGUCCCCAAGACAAUUGAUUUCAUCCAGGUGCUCCACUUCCAAGAGGUCAGGUGCUUGCUAAAAAGGUGGUUGAACCCAAUGGUGAUCACAUAGAGGGUAAACCAGUUGUUGCAGCUUCCUCUUCCCAUGAAUCAAUCCCUUCCGUAUAUUGGAUUGGCCAUUGAAAGUCACCGGAUAUGCCCCAUGUAAGUUUUGGAUUGGAAUUUGACCCUGUCGCUUAUAGUGAAUGGGCCCCUCCUUUCAUUGACUUGUAUGGGAAGGAACGCAUUCUUACUGGGGCGUUGAUUGUCAUAGGAUAUGCUAUCCAAAUCACAUGAAAUGGUUGAAAUGUAAUUAAUUUAUUUUUAUUAUUUUGUCUUGCAGGUUGUAGGCCCAAACAGAUGAUAUAUGGCUGGAUGAAGGGAUUUCUUUUAUAUGUAUUCAAAACAUUUUCAACACAUUAUUGUAAAUAUUAUAUGUUUUUCAUUGUAAAGUAAUACAAUUUAUUUAGUAUUCAUUUUUAAUUGUGUUGUGCAACAUUUUUUAGGUUCUAAAUAUUUAAAAACAAUAUAGGUUCCAAUUAAAUAUAAACAAUCAAAUGGAUUAAGAAAAAAAUUAACUCGCGGUCAACACUUUUACAAGCAGUCAACAGUUUUUACUUGUGUAUAUUUAAAGGUUUUCCAUGGCAUAUGUUGGCCUUUCAUGACAUUUGAAUUAUGCCUAGCUUGUUAGGAACCUAUUACUGAUGCCUUCGUAGAUUUGCACCAACGUAUACCGGCGCUUUGAUAUGUCUAAAUGGCACUUCGGCAUGCCUUUUUCGGCAUUUUUCCAUAUCUUUCCCGGUGUUUUGGCAACCUUAUUGCAGUGGUCAAAAAUACUUUUACCGGUGCUUUGAUAUGUCUAGACAACUUUUCAUCAGGCCUUUACUGGCGUUUCUACAUAUUUUUUCCCAGUGUUGUGGCAACUUUUUGCGAUGCUUUUUGCAUCUUUUACCAGCAUUUUUUUC